GUUUUUUGUGUUUAGAUUUUUUUUUUGCUUUUACUUUAAUGAACUAUACUGACAAACUGAGUCAAUUCUGUUUUUUUUUUAUCUUAAUUAGUUGAAAGCAGAAUUCCUGCGAUUGCCUUUUUUUUUUUAAAAAAAAUAUUCGAGCAAUUUUUACGAGAGUUCAAAUUCUCAUCACUGGGAAAACGUCUUCAUUUCCAUCGCGGAUGUAGCGAAACUCCGUCAUCCCAACACACGGAUGGAAACAAUAGAUUUCCAUAGGCCGCGGCGUCUCACUGCUCUGCAAAUUUGCGCGUGUGGCUCCCGGGUGCUGCUCCUGAGCGUUGGAACUAGCGGGAUCCAAAGAUCCAGAUGGAGCCGCCGUGGUGAUACUUCUGCUGUGAUUUUGGUCUCCCUUUGCUUUGCUGUUCUGGGUUGAACUUUUGUCCAGGCAGGCACCAUGUCCCAGGAAGUGGGUGUGGUCCCUGUGAGAUUUGCAGCCAGCAGAUGAAGUGAGCAAACAGUAAAACAACCGUUUUUUUUUUUGGGUGGGGUGGGAUGAACCGUUGAUUAACACAAAGGUAUGGAAC